rnacentral:rRNA from 1 species
UACGGGGGGGGGCAAGCGUUGUCCGGAAUUAUUGGGCGUAAAGAGCUCGUAGGCGGUCUGUCGCGUCUGCUGUGAAAACUCAGGGCUUAACCCUGAGCUUGCAGUGGGUACGGGCAGACUAGAGUGCGGUAGGGGAGACUGGAAUUCCUGGUGUAGCGGUGAAAUGCGCAGAUAUCAGGAGGAACACCGGUGGCGAAGGCGGGUCUCUGGGUAGUAACUGACGCUGAGGAACGAAAGCGUGGGUAGCGAACAGG